AAGUCGUAACAAGGUUUCCGUAGGUGAACCUGCGGAAGGAUCAUUAAACAUAUUACGGAGGGGUUAGGUCAGGGCGCAUGUAAACUAUGCGCUCCGUCCUAGCUCUUCUGAAUAUUUAACCCAUGUCUUUUGCGUACUAUUUGUUUCCUUGGCGAGCUUGCUCGCCAAUAGGACACUUUAAACUCUUUGUAAUUGCAGUCAGCGUCAGAAAUAACUUAAUAGUUACAACUUUCAACAACGGAUCUCUUGGUUCUG
rnacentral:misc_RNA from 1 species